UACGUAGGGUGCAAGCGUUAAUCGGAAUUACUGGGCGUAAAGCGUGCGUAGGCGGCUUGGCAAGUCAGAUGUGAAAUCCCCGGGCUUAACCUGGGAACUGCAUUUGUGACUGCAUGGCUGGAGUGCGGCAGAGGGGGAUGGAAUUCCGCGUGUAGCAGUGAAAUGCGUAGAUAUGCGGAGGAACACCGAUGGCGAAGGCAAUCCCCUGGGCCUGCACUGACGCUGAUGCACGAAAGCGUGGGGAGCAAACAGG
rnacentral:rRNA from 1 species